rnacentral:Y_RNA from 1 species
GGCUGGCCCAAGUGCAGUGGUGUCUACAACAAAUUGAUUACAAGCAGUGGCAGAUUUCUUUGUUCCUUCUCCACUCCCACUGCUUCACUUGACUAGCCUUAA